AAAUCUUGAUUAUUGUUCUUUUGCCGUAAAAAGUUAAGAGCAUUCACUUAGGGUGAGUAAGAAAUAAGUUGGGGAGAAUCGGUAAGUACCACAACUCUUGAAAAAAAAAAUGAAAAACCGAGCAAGCAUUGAAAAUAAAAAUAUAGAAAAGAAACAUCUGUUUUGUAAAUAUGAUGUGAAAGAAAAGAACAAAAAUAGAAAGAAUGAAAAUGAAUGCUUGCUUGGAAGAAAAAUAGUGAAAAAUAAAAAUUGAGUUGUGAAAUAAGAGUUGUGAAGGUUUCAAAUAAGAAACAAAUGGAACGAAGUCGAGAUGUGUGAAUAUGUGUACAGUGAAUGUCUCUUUUGCAUCGGCAAUUUCGUUUUCAAUGGCCUUAGAAAUGACCCUUGUUUGUUAACCUGACCAAGCUUCAACCGAAAAGCCCUUAG
rnacentral:lncRNA from 1 species